GCCCGGUUGAUCCCGCCAUGAGUCAUAUGCUUGUCUCAAAGAUUAAGCCAUGCAUGUGUAAGGAAUUGAUUUGAUUGUGAAACUGCGAAUGGCUCAUUAAAUCGCUUAUAGUUUGUUUGAUGGUAUGCCCCUACUCGGAGCCGUAGUAAUUCUAGAGCUAAUACGUGCAACAAACCCGACCUUUGGGAGGGAUGCAUUUAUUAGAUAAAAGGUUGAUGCGGGUUUUGCUCAUUGUGUUGAUGAUUCAUGGUAACUCGACGGAUCACACCGGUCCUCGUGCUAGCGAUGCAUCAUUCAAAUUUCUGCCCUAUCAACUUUCGAUGGUAGGAUAGUUGUCUACCAUGGUGGUGAUGGGUAAUGGAGAAUUAGGGUUCAAUUCUGGAGAGGGAGUCUGAGAAACGACUACCACAUCCAAGGAAGGCAGCAGACGCGCAAAUUACCCAAUCCUAACACGGGGAGGUAGUGACAAUAAAUAACAAUAUCGGGCUCUUUGAGUUUGGUAAUUGGAAUGAGUACAAUCUAAAUCCCUUAACGAGGAUCCAUUGGAGGGCUAGUCCGGUGCCGCAGCGUGAUAAUUCCAGCUCGAUAAGCGUAUAUUUAAGUUGUUGCAGUUAAAAAGCUCGAGUUGGACUUUGGGUUGAGUCAUCGGUCCGCCUUGUUGUGUGCAAUUCGUCUCGGCCCAUCCUGCCAAUGAUGCGUGCUGGCCUUAGUUGGUCGGGUCCGUGCACAAGUGUAUUGCAAGAAAUUAGAGUGCUCAAAGCAAGCCCACGCCUGAUACAUUAGCAUGGGAUAACAUCACGAUUUCGUUCCCUUGUGUUGGCCUUGGGGAUUGGAGUAAUGAUUAAGAGGGACAAUCGGGGGCAUUCGGAUUUCAUAGUCGAGGUGAAAUUCUUGGAUUUAUGAAAGCGAACCACUGCGAAAGCAUUUGCCAAGGAUGUUUUCAUUAAUCAAGAACGAAAGUGGGGGGCUCAAGACGGAUCGACACGUCUCAACCAACUAUAGCGAUGCCGACUGUGGAUCGGGAUGUUGCUUUAGGACUCAGCGCACCUUAUGAGAAAUCAAAGUCUUUGGGUUCGGGAGUAUGGUGCAAGGUCGAAACUUAAAGGAAUUGACAGGCACGAGUGGAGCGCGGCAAUAAUGACUCAACACGAAACUUACCAGUCCGAGACAUAGCAAGGAUUGAUGAUGAGAGCUCUUUCACGAUUCUAUGGGUGGUGGUGCGCGUUCUUAGUUGGUGGGCGAUUUGUCCGUUAAUUCCGUUAACGACGAGACCUACCGCUAACUAGCUACGGAUGCAUCCUUCGCGCCUCUUAGAGGGACUAUGGCGUGUAGGUCACGGAAGUUUGAGGCAAUAGCAGUCCGUGGAUGCCCUUAGAUGUUCGCCGCACGCUAGCUGAUGUAUUCAACGAGUUUGUUGCCUUGGCCGAUAGGCUUGGGUAAUCUUAACAAAUUUCAUCGUGAUGGGGAUAGAUCAUUGCAAUUGUUGGUCUGACGAGGAAUUCCUAGUAGCGCGAGUCAUCGCGUUGACUAUCCCCGCUUUGUACACACACAGCCCCUAGCCCCACCGACUUGAAUGGUCCGAGUGUUCGGAUCGGGACGUGGGUGGUCCACUAUGACGCCUCUUGAGAAGUCCAUUGAACCUUAUCAUUUAGGGAAGGAGAAGUGAAUAGGUUUCGUGAGGUGAACUGCGGAAGGAUCAUUG
rnacentral:rRNA from 1 species